GACGAACGCUGGCGGCGUGCUUAACACAUGCAAGUCGAACGGAAAGGCCCUGCUUUUGUGGGGUGCUCGAGUGGCGAACGGGUGAGUAACACGUGAGUAACCUGCCCUUGACUUUGGGACAACUUCAGGCAACUGGGGCUAAUACCGGAUAGGAGCUCCUGCUGCAUGGUGGGGGUUGGAAAGUUUGGGCGGUUGGGGAUGGAUGGGGGGCUUAUCAGCUUGUUGGUGGGGGAGUGGCCUACCAAGGGAUCGACGGAUAGCCGGCCUGAGAGGGUGACCAGCGACAUUGCGACUGAGAUACGGCCCAGACUCCUACGGGAGGCAGAAGUGGGGAAUAUUGCACAAUGGGCGGAAGCCUGAUGCAGCAACGCCGCGUGCGGGAUGACGGCCUUCGUGUUGUAAACCGCUUUCGCCUGUGACGAAGCGUGAGUGACGGUAAUGGGUAAAGAAGCACCGGCUAACUACGUG
rnacentral:rRNA from 1 species